rnacentral:rRNA from 1 species
GGGUAAGUCUAAGCAUACCUGUCUGACCGAUAGCGUACCAGUACCGUGAGGGAAAGGUGAAAAGCACCCCGGGAGGGGAGUGAAAGAGUUCCUGAAACCGUGCGCCUACAAUCCGUCGGAGCCUCCUUGUGGGGUGACGGCGUGCCUAUCGAAAAAUGAGUCUGCGAGUCAGUGGUGCGUGGCGAGGCUAACCCGUGGUGGGGGAGCCGUAGCGAAGGCGAGUCUCAAAAGGCGUUUUGAGUCGCGCGCCCUGGACCCGAAGCGGGAUGAUCUAGCCCUGGGCAGGUUGAAGCGCGGGUAAGACCGCGUGGAGGACCGAACCCACCUGGGUUGAAAACCGGGGGGAUGACCUGGGGCUAGGGGUGAAAGGCCAAUCAAAUUCCGUGAUAGCUGGUUCUCUCCGAAAUGCAUUUAGGUGCAGCGUCGGUUGAUUGCGUCGCGGGGGUAGAGCUACCGGAUGCUUGCGGGCCCUUGUUGGGUACCAACAGCAGCCGAACUCCGAAUACCGUUGACGUGUAUUCCGGCAGUGAGUCGGCGGGGGAUAAGCUCCGUCGUCGAGAGGGAGACAGCCCAGACCGUCGUCUAAGGUCCCGAAGCGUGUGCUAAGUGGGAAAGGAUGUGGAGUCGCAUAGACAGCCAGGAGGUUGGCUCAGAAGCAGCCAUCCUUGAAAGAGUGCGUAACAGCUCACUGGUCUAGUGGUUCCGCGCCGACAAUGUAGCGGGGCUCAAGCACACCACCGAAGACGCGGCAGCGGCCUUUGCGGCCGUUGGGUAGGAGAGCGUCCCGCGUGGGGCGAAGCGGCCGGGGAACCGUGCCGUGGACCGCGCGGGAGUGAGAAUGCAGACAUGAGUAGCGAGAGACGGGUGAGGAUCCCGUCCGCUGGAUGACCAAGGGUUCCGGGGCCACGUUCGUCGUCCCCGGGUGAGUCGGGUCCUAAGGCGAGGCCGACAGGCGUAGUCGAAUGGAUGAACGGGUGGAUAUUCCCGUACCGACCAUGGACCGGCAAAACCGAGACGGUGAGUACUAACCUCCGCCUCGUGGUGGUUCCUUCCUUCGGGUUGGUAUCGCCGCGUGGUGUUGGGAGCGUAGCCGCAGUAGGUCAGCGCAGGGGUGACACGGAAUGGGAGCCGGCCGCGGAGGUGGUUUUCCGUGGUCAAGCACGCAGCCAGUCAUGUAGGCAAAUCCGCAUGGCGCGCAUGGCGAGGUGUGAUGAUGGGAGCCGUUAUGGCUCGAUAUCCGGUUGUCCAGGCCGUCGAGAAAAGCCUCGGCGUGAGGGCCAUGGCCGCCCGUACCCCAAACCGACACUGGUGGUCAGGUAGAGAAUACCAAGGCGAUCGAGCGAAUCCUGGUCAAGGAACUCGGCAAAUCACUCCCGUGCCUUCGGUAUAAGGGAGACCCGCUGGGGUGAACCGGCUAGCCCGGGGAGCUUUGGUGGGUGGCACAGACCAGGGGGUAGCGACUGUUUACCAAAAACACAGGUGCAUGCGAAGGCGAAAGCCGCUGUAUAUGCACUGACGCCUGCCCGGUGCCGGAAGGUUAAGAGGAUCCGUCAAUCCCUUCGGGGACGAAGCGGUGAAUUCAAGCCCCGGUAAACGGCGGUGGUAACUAUAACCAUCCUAAGGUAGCGAAAUUCCUUGUCGGGUAAGUUCCGACCUGCACGAAUGGCGUAACGACUUCCCCACUGUCUCGACCAGGAGCUCGGCGAAAUUGCAGUACGAGUAAAGAUGCUCGUUAAGCGCAGAAGGACGAAAAGACCCCGGGACCUUUACUAUACCUUGGUAUUGGCGUUAGGCGCGGAUUGUGUAGCAUAGGCGGGAGGCUUUGAAACGGUGGCGCCAGCCAUCGCGGAGCCGCAAGGUGAAAUACCGCUCUGUUCUCGUUUGACGUCUAACCUCGACAAGUCAUCCUUGUCAGGGACAGUGCCUGGCGGGUAGUUCAACUGGGGCGGUUGCCUCCCAAAGAGUAACGGAGGCGCUCAAAGGUCCGCUCAGCCCGGUUGGCAAUCGGGUGUCGAGUGUAAUCGCACAAGCGGGCUUGACUGCGAGGACGACGGUCCGAGCAGGGACGAAAGUCGGAGAUAGUGAUCCGGUGCCGGCGCACGGGCGCGGCAUCGCUCAACGGAUAAAAGGUACCCCGGGGAUAACAGGCUGAUCAUUCCCAAGAGUCCAUAUCGACGGGAUGGUUUGGCACCUCGAUGUCGGCUCGUCGCAUCCUGGGGCUGGAGCAGGUCCCAAGGGUUCGGCUGUUCGCCGAUUAAAGCGGCACGCGAGCUGGGUUCAGAACGUCGUGAGACAGUUUGGUCUCUAUCCUCUGCGCUCGUUGGAAUCCUGAGGAGGCCUGCCCAUAGUACGAGAGGACCUGGGUGGACG